ensembl:miRNA
GUAUUUUGUGUUAGUGCGGAUGGUGUUAUAUGUUAAGACAUUAAAGUUAACACCAUAAGCAGAGCACAAAAUGC